rnacentral:lncRNA from 1 species
CUCUGCUGGAUUGCAGCGCCGGCUGGGCACCAGGAGUACAAAGCGAAAACCCCCGCCGGCCCUUCUGUUCUCCACGGUCUCCAAGGAGACACGGACAACAGAACAACACUUCCGUGUGCUAAAUAGUAAAGCACCAAGGUACUCGAUCCAGGGGCGGCGUGCAGUGGGGAGGUGAGCUUUGGGUCGGCCGUCGCCCCUCGGCUACCGGCGGGAUCCAGAAACCGGGAGUCACCACCAAUAC